GACGAACCAUGCAAACGUUAUUCGGAUUCACUGGGCUUAAAGCGUGCGUAGGCGGUCUUGUUAGUCAGGUGUGAAAGCCCUCAGCUCAACUGAGGAAUUGCGCUUGAUACUGCAUGACUAGAGAAUGAUAGAGGUGGGUGGAACUGAUGGUGGAGCGGUGAAAUGCGUUGAUAUCAUCAGGAACACCAGUGGCGAAGGCGACCCACUGGGUCAUUUCUGACGCUGAGGUACGAAAGCUAGGGUAGCGAACGGGAUUAGAUGACCCUAG
rnacentral:rRNA from 1 species